GGAGAAAUGGGAGCUCCGGGAGUCCGUGGAGACAAAGGAGAAAAGGGGCAGCCUGGGGAGAUGGGGGAACCUGGAGAAAAGGGCAUCAAAGGAGACAGAGGUGAAAAUGGUCAAAAGGUAAAGAACACCAUUGGUACCACAGUCAGGGGGGUCUCUUCUUACACUGUGAGAGUUGCCUCCUGCUCUUCCUUCUCCUUUUGCCAUAUCUAACCUCUCCAUCUCGGUGGGAAGUGUCUAGGUAACCUCCUGAGGUAUGGGCUCAGUGUGACCAGUCACUUGUUGGGGACCCAGUGUCUCUCUGUUGACUAGGAAGGAACUCCAGAUGGCUCACAUCGACAGGACACCAGCCUUAUAAAUGAGGAAUGUCAGAAUAUAUGAGUCUUCUGACACCAUCUCCUGCAACUAAACUGCCUCUCUUCUAAAGUUGUUUAAAUGCUCUUGGCAGCUUUGUCUCUCCAGGUCAGAUAAGGCUUCCCACCACCUAGAGGAGAUGUAAUGAGGGCUCUGUAGAAACCCUAAAUGUAGGAUCAGCUCUGAAGGACUUCAGCUGGAUGUCCAAGGAGCAGCAUGAAGCAGGCUCUCAUUUUGUUCAGCCCCCAGUGGAAGGAGUGAUCUUGUUUUUCCUGACUUCCUUCUCUUCACAGGGAGAACCAGGAAUUGGGUUCAGAGGCCCUGUUGGUCAGGCUGGACCACCUGGAUUUAAAGUAAGCCUUGUUUUGUCUGGGUCUUGCUCUUUGUAAUCCUUACUGAUCUUUCCACUAAUGGUUGUGGAGCACAGAGCUGGCUGGGACUUCAAGGAUAAAGCACCA
rnacentral:lncRNA from 1 species